UCAGAGGCGAUGAAGGACGUGCUAAUCUGCGAAAAGCGUCGGUAAGGUGAUAUGAACCGUUACAGCCGGCGAUGUCCGAAUGGGGAAACCCAGUGUGAUUCGUCACACUAUCGUUAACUGAAUACAUAGGUUAACGAGGCGAACCGGGGGAACUGAAACAUCUAAGUACCCCGAGGAAAAGAAAUCAACCGAGAUUCCCCCAGUAGCGGCGAGCGAACGGGGAGCAGCCCAGAGUCUGAAUCAGCUUGUGUGUUAGUGGAACGGUCUGGAAAGUCCGACGGUACAGGGUGAUAGUCCCGUACACCAAAAUGCACAGGCUGUGAACUCGAAGAGUAGGGCGGGACACGUGGUAUCCUGUCUGAAUAUGGGGGGACCAUCCUCCAAGGCUAAAUACUCCUGACUGACCGAUAGUGAACCAGUACCGUGAGGGAAAGGCGAAAAGAACCCCGGCGAGGGGAGUGAAAAAGAACCUGAAACCGUGUACGUACAAGCAGUGGGAGCACCUUCGGGUGUGACUGCGUACCUUUUGUAUAAUGGGUCAGCGACUUAUAUUCUGUAGCAAGGUUAACCGUAUAGGGGAGCCGCAGGGAAACCGAGUCUUAACUGGGCGUUAAGUUGCAGGGUAUAGACCCGAAACCCGGUGAUCUAGCCAUGGGCAGGUUGAAGGUUGGGUAACACUAACUGGAGGACCGAACCGACUAAUGUUGAAAAAUUAGCGGAUGACUUGUGGCUGGGGGUGAAAGGCCAAUCAAACCGGGAGAUAGCUGGUUCUCCCCGAAAGCUAUUUAGGUAGCGCCUCGUGAACUCAUCUUCGGGGGUAGAGCACUGUUUCGGCUAGGGGGUCAUCCCGACUUACCAACCCGAUGCAAACUACGAAUACCGAAGAAUGUUAUCACGGGAGACACACGGCGGGUGCUAACGUCCGUCGUGAAGAGGGAAACAACCCAGACCGCCAGCUAAGGUCCCAAAGUCAUGGUUAAGUGGGAAACGAUGUGGGAAGGCACAGACAGCCAGGAUGUUGGCUUAGAAGCAGCCAUCAUUUAAAGAAAGCGUAAUAGCUCACUGGUCGAGUCGGCCUGCGCGGAAGAUGUAACGGGGCUAAACCAUGCACCGAAGCUGCGGCAGCGACACUAUGUGUUGUUGGGUAGGGGAGCGUUCUGUAAGCCUGCGAAGGUGUGCUGUGAGGCAUGCUGGAGGUAUCAGAAGUGCGAAUGCUGACAUAAGUAACGAUAAAGCGGGUGAAAAGCCCGCUCGCCGGAAGACCAAGGGUUCCUGUCCAACGUUAAUCGGGGCAGGGUGAGUCGACCCCUAAGGCGAGGCCGAAAGGCGUAGUCGAUGGGAAACAGGUUAAUAUUCCUGUACUUGGUGUUACUGCGAAGGGGGGACGGAGAAGGCUAUGUUAGCCGGGCGACGGUUGUCCCGGUUUAAGCAUGUAGGCUGGUUGUCCAGGCAAAUCCGGAUAAUCAAGGCUGAGGUGUGAUGACGAGGCACUACGGUGCUGAAGUAACAAAUGCCCUGCUUCCAGGAAAAGCCUCUAAGCAUCAGGUAACAUCAAAUCGUACCCCAAACCGACACAGGUGGUCAGGUAGAGAAUACCAAGGCGCUUGAGAGAACUCGGGUGAAGGAACUAGGCAAAAUGGUGCCGUAACUUCGGGAGAAGGCACGCUGGUGUGUAGGUGAAGUCCCUGCGGAUGGAGCUGAGACCAGUCGAAGAUACCAGCUGGCUGCAACUGUUUAUUAAAAACACAGCACUGUGCAAACACGAAAGUGGACGUAUACGGUGUGACGCCUGCCCGGUGCCGGAAGGUUAAUUGAUGGGGUUAUCCGUAAGGAGAAGCUCUUGAUCGAAGCCCCGGUAAACGGCGGCCGUAACUAUAACGGUCCUAAGGUAGCGAAAUUCCUUGUCGGGUAAGUUCCGACCUGCACGAAUGGCGUAAUGAUGGCCAGGCUGUCUCCACCCGAGACUCAGUGAAAUUGAACUCGCUGUGAAGAUGCAGUGUACCCGCGGCAAGACGGAAAGACCCCGUGAACCUUUACUAUAGCUUGACACUGAACAUUGAGCCUUGAUGUGUAGGAUAGGUGGGAGGCUUUGAAGCGUGGACGCCAGUCUGCGUGGAGCCAACCUUGAAAUACCACCCUUUAAUGUUUGAUGUUCUAACGUUGGCCCCUUACCGGGGUUGCGGACAGUGUCUGGUGGGUAGUUUGACUGGGGCGGUCUCCUCCCAAAGCGUAACGGAGGAGCACGAAGGUUAGCUAAUCCUGGUCGGACAUCAGGAGGUUAGUGCAAUGGCAUAAGCUAGCUUGACUGCGAGCGUGACGGCGCGAGCAGGUGCGAAAGCAGGUCAUAGUGAUCCGGUGGUUCUGAAUGGAAGGGCCAUCGCUCAACGGAUAAAAGGUACUCCGGGGAUAACAGGCUGAUACCGCCCAAGAGUUCAUAUCGACGGCGGUGUUUGGCACCUCGAUGUCGGCUCAUCACAUCCUGGGGCUGAAGUAGGUCCCAAGGGUAUGGCUGUUCGCCAUUUAAAGUGGUACGCGAGCUGGGUUUAGAACGUCGUGAGACAGUUCGGUCCCUAUCUGCCGUGGGCGCUGGAGAAUUGAGGGGGGCUGCUCCUAGUACGAGAGGACCGGAGUGGACGCAUCACUGGUGUUCGGGUUGUCAUGCCAAUGGCACUGCCCGGUAGCUAAAUGCGGAAGAGAUAAGUGCUGAAAGCAUCUAAGCACGAAACUUGCCCCGAGAUGAGUUCUCCCUGAGACUUUAAGUCUCCUGAAGGAACGUUAAAGACGAUGACGUUGAUAGGCCGGGUGUGUAAGCGCAGCGAUGCGUUGAGCUAACCGGUACUAAUGAACCGUGAGGCUUAACCUU
rnacentral:rRNA from 1 species